rnacentral:lncRNA from 1 species
UUUAAGGUUUUCGUUGAUCUCUUUUAAAGUGUAUUUUAUUGCCAUCAGUGAGCAAUUUAUCGCUGCCAUUGACUGACACAUUUCGUUUUGUUUUUCCAUGACUUCUGCUGUUAGAACCCAGGGUCGUGGUGGGGUGCCUGCACGGGCGGCGGAGGACACGUGCCCGCACACACAGCUGGCAGAUGAACGGCUCUGUGGGACUGGCUCCAGACCGGUGUCUUCAGCCGAAGCCUGAACACCACUCGUGCCUGGCUCUGAAUGAUCUGAAACAUCAUUUAAAUAAAGAAAUAAUGAAUUUGGCAGACCAGCAAUAGGAUAUAAGCCUAAUAUCACCUUGAGAGGUAGUGGCUCCAGCGUGACCCCAGGUGUUCGAAGCCACAGCACUACCCCGAGUGUUCAAAGCCCCAGCGCGACCCCGAGUGUUCGAAGCCGCAGCACGACCCAGAGUGUUCAAAGUGCUUCCUCAAGUGUGAGCAGCCACAAAAAUUGGUAACUCCUGGAAGAAGUGAAGGACACUCAAAGAGUACAUGGCAAAAUGUUGAAAACACGACUGAAGCAGAAAGUGGCCGUGCAAGUGCUGGAACCACCUGGACACAAUUCAAGAUGUGCAGGCCCUGAACAAGAAGCUCUGCAACUCAGAGUUCAUGUGUGGAGUUAUUGCUAUGGUGGGAGAAAUAGGAGGUAAAUCAUUGGAUGAUGCCACCAGAAGAAUGAUGGCAUUCCUCAUGUCCAAUGAAUUGGCACUCCAGUUCAACCUUUUUGGACACCAUGGCAAGAACAAGUUCAGAGAGCUGCAUCUUUUUGAUGUUGUAUAUGGUAAAUUUCAGUUAAUGUUACCUACCCAUAUGGGUAUUCUAAUGUAACUUCCUUUAUCUUUGUAGCUUAAAAUGUUGAAUUUUGUAGAUGUGUGCCGCAGCUUACAGCUGGCCUAAUUGGUGAAAAGGGGGCACAACAUAUAUAUAUAUAUAAAUAUAUAUAUAUACAUAUACAUAUAUAUAUAUAUAUAUAUAUACAUAUAUAUAUAUAUAUAUAUAUAUAUAUAUAUACAUAUAUAUAUAUAUAUAUAUAUAUAUAUAUAUGUGUAUAUAUAUAUAUAUAUAUAUAUA